rnacentral:rRNA from 1 species
UACAGAGGUCUCAAGCGUUGUUCGGAUUCAUUGGGCGUAAAGGGUGCGUAGGUGGCGCCGUAAGUCAGGUGUGAAAUUUCGGAGCUUAACUCCGAAACUGCAUUUGAUACUGCGGUGCUUGAGGACCGGAGAGGAGACUGGAAUUUACGGUGUAGCAGUGAAAUGCGUAGAUAUCGUAAGGAAGACCAGUGGCGAAGGCGGGUCUCUGGACAGUUCCUGACACUGAGACACGAAGGCCAGGGGAGCAAACGGG